GAUAGUUUAGUCGGUAGAGCAGGAGACUCCUAAUCUCAGGGUUGUGGGUUCGUGCCCCACACUGGGCA